rnacentral:rRNA from 1 species
GUUGUUGCGGUUAAAAAGCUCGUAGUUGGAUCUCAGCUCACGCUAAGUGGUCCACCUAAUGGUGGUUACUACUUAGCUGAGCAUUUUACAGAUUUGUCUCUUGAUGCUCUUCACCGAGUGUCAAGAGUGGUCUGUACGUUUACUUUGAAAAAAUUAGAGUGCUUAAAGCAGGCAACUCGCCCGAAUAAUCUUGCAUGGAAUAAUGGAAUAGGACCUUGGUUCUAUUUUGUUGGUCUCCGGAAUCUGAGGUAAUGAUUAAGAGGGACAGACGGGGGCAUUCGUAUUGCGCCGCUAGAGGUGAAAUUCUUGGACCGGCGCAAGACGAACUACAGCGAAAGCAUUUGCCAAGAAUGUUUUCAUUAAUCAAGAACGAAAGUUAGAGGUUCGAAGGCGAUCAGAUACCGCCCUAGUUCUAACCAUAAACCGAUGCC